rnacentral:rRNA from 1 species
UACGAAGGGGGCGAGCGUUGUUCGGAUUUACUGGGCGUAAAGGGCGCGCAGGCGGCUCAUUUUGUCAGGCGUGAAAGCCCCGGGCUUAACCUGGGAGGUGCGUUUGAUACGGAUGGGCUAGAGUUCGGGAGAGGAGAGUGGAAUUCCCAGUGUAGAGGUGAAAUUCGUAGAUAUUGGGAAGAACACCAGUGGCGAAGGCGGCUCACUGGCCCGGAACUGACGCUGAGACGCGAAAGCGUGGGGAGCAAACAGG